CGGGCGGCCGUGACCCUGCUGGAGUGCGGGGGGGACCUCCAGCCCCCCGGGGGGUCCCUGCGCCUCCUCUGCCGAGGGGCCGGGUUCAGUUUCGGCAGUUUCUCCAUGUUCUGGGUGCGCCAGAGACCCGGGCAGGGGCUGGAAUUCGUGGCAGGGAUCAAGGACAACGGCGGCAGCAUCGCCUACGCGCCAUCGGUCAAGGGCCGGUUCAGGAUCUCCAGGGACAACGGGCAGAGCUCGGUGACGCUGACCAUGAACAACCUCAAGGACGAGGAUUCCGGAUCCUAUUUCUGUGCCAAAUGCAUUGAUGGUGGUUGUGCAAAUAGUCAUGGCACUGUUGGUGCUGCAUUUAUUGCUGGUUCAGGUCUUGGUCCCAAAUCCCUCCACUUUGUUCCCAAAUAUCCCAUAGCCCUCUGA